AGAAAUUUCAUUGCAAAAGUAUUCUAGUUAUACAUAAGAUCGAUAUGGUUCUUACAUAGUUCAUUAACUCCUAUCUAUAAAAUAGAUAUUUUUCCUACAUAGUUUGUUAGUGUCUAUAUUCUAUCCUGUCCUGAUAUUGUUGGCCUUCAAGAAAAAUGCGUUCCCUCCUCCAGUUGGAAAGCUAGCUUUAGUUGUCCAUUUUAAAAUAGCAUUUUAAUUUUUCUUUUCCGUAUCUUGAUCCUUCUUUAAAAACCAAAAGGAUUAAAGGCUGAAAAGCAGCAGUUGCUGCAAGCACUCGCACAACCCUUCGUUGUUCAAUUCUAUUUGAUGCCCAUUUCUCAUUUUGUUUGCACUAAUAGCUCUCUGCAAUCUACAAAAUAACCCUGUUAAACAUUUACUGUAAUGCAAUUUUAAAGUUACAAAUAUAUAUAAAAGAUUGAGUGCAAAUCUUCAAUUACAGGAUAAGUUAGGAAAAGGAAGAGGAAAAUACCUGUGGAUAUGAAUGCUGAAAUGGGUGAUUGCGAUUAUGGGCAAUCAUAUGCCCAUUCAUCCUCUCCUCAUGUUGACUUGCAAAGCCUGGAAUCUGUGCAAAAACCUGGAGGUAUCGACACUAUGAAGUUUAGUAUUCAUCAUUAACCAUAAAGUUGAAGUGAGCCUAUCAACUCAUAAUCAUACUUAUUCAAUGGUUUUUAGUUAAUGAAAGACUUACCAUAAUAAUUAAACAUUGGAUAUGUUGGAGUAAUUGGAGUGCUGAAGGGUCCCGGUAUUCUUCCCAUUGUUCGUUGUGUGAGCAAUUUGACAAAAAUAUCUUCUCUCCUCUUUAGUCUAUGCCAUGGGUACAUGUAGAGGUUUGCGGUGAAACAUGAUAACGACAAGCAAUCAGGUAAUUAACUCAUUAAAGCUCCAUUAUUAAACAGAAAAGGAUCAAGGCAAUCCUGUAACCCUGUCACAUUAUAGAUGCACUAUGGAAGAAAAAUGAAAUGCAAAAUACUAUAAAAGAUGCCUACUUAUUGAGGGAUUCUAAGGGUAAGUUUGAAUCCCAAAGUUAACUCUAUCAAAACAAAAGAAACUUCCAAAACUUUUGCGGAUUUGGAAGAAAGUAAAUAUUAAAAUUAAUAAGCUGCACCUGCAUAUUUAUCAUUGAGGAUUCUAAUAGCUUGCUCAACUUCUUCAAGCUUGGAAAAGCACACAAAACUAAAACUCCAACUUAUUUCAUUAUCAUUUCACAUAAUCUUAACAAAUUUAACCAUUUCACAGUUGUUAAAAAUUUUUUCAGUUAGUUUCCAUCAAUGUCAUCAUUUAUGUGUUUUAUAUACACGUUGAAACCCUAAGAGAUCAAAAAAAUAAAAGAAUUUAACAAAAUUAAAAAAAAAAAUGCACCCAUUAGAAAACUUGUGGUCAUUUUCUCCAAACCUUAUUUUGUUGAAUUUGUUCCCAUGGCAUUCCCUAAAUUUGAUGCUGAAGCAUAUGUUAGCGUUCUUGUUUCUUCAGUGCCUUUGUUACAUAUAACACUUUUGCAAUUUAUCAUUAGUUUUAUUCUCGUCACUAGAGGGUGACCUAUGCGUUGCACCUAGGUAUUUCUAACAAAAGAAGUAUCAUAAUAAAUUUUGAUUUAAUAGUGAUUAAAAUAAUAUAUGUAGAAAUAAUUGUAUCAUGAUUAUUUGUUUUACAAAAAGUAUCUUAUUUGUUAAUUUAGUAGGAACAAUCAAAAUACAAUAGAAUACGUAAAUAAAAAUAAAAGUUACUGAAAAAGCACAAAAACAAUAAAAGCAACGAAUUCAUCCAAAGAAAGAAGACUCCAUGACUGUGAGAGUACCAAUGUUGAUUAUAAAAGCAUUCAAUAUUUAUUUGAAGUAUAAAAAAGAAAUAGAGGAAUAAAGUAAUAAUACGCAUAAUUAUUAUCGAGAAAACAAUUCAAUCACAAUCCUUAAAUAUUUAUCCAAAAAUAAGAAACACAUAAAAUUAUAACAAUCACAAUAACAUUAACAUCCACACCAAAUGCAAUAGGAGGCAAAAUAAUAAAAAAUUUGAUUUAUUUUCUGUUCAAACAAAACAAAAUUAAAAGCAAAAAUGAAUAAAUGCUAGGAAUUUUUUUUAAAGCGCUUGCUAUUUUUAAACCCCGAUUACAAACUCACCAUACAUACACAACAACAACAACAUGCUACCAUGUAAAACUUGAGUAAGUGAAGAUAUUCCUUUACAAAUAAUAAAUGGAAAAGGCAUCAAGACCAGAAACAUCCAAAUGCAAAAGGAAAGAAUCCAAAAAAAAAAAAACACAAAAAACAAGAAAAGCCAAUGAAACAAAUGGACAAUAAUAUGCGCAAAAGAAAAAAAAUCAAAGCAAAAUAGAGAACUUGCAAAACAUAGACAAACCUGCAAACCAGAGAAAGUAAAAAAGCCAUUAAAUACUAAGAAGAGAAGAAACAAAGCAAAGAUCAAAGCACCUAAACACAAAAAGACCUAAACAAAAGACUGAGAAAGAAUCACAAAAGAUUAAAAAGGUAAUUCAAAAUCCAACAAACACAUAAUACCAAGACAAAAAUCUCCUCACAACCCAGAGGAAAAUGAAUAUUAAUUAUCAUCAUUAAAAAUUUCUUAAUUUUAAUGAGGACAUACUAUAAAUUAUCUUUCGUUUUAAUUGAUCUUUUUUUUUUCCUAUAACAUUAGAAAAGAAGUAAAAAUCAACGAAAACAAUCUUGAGUGAAUUGAGUUCAGAAACAAUAAGAAAAUAAACAAAAAAAAAGCCUGUAAAAAAAGAAAACCCAAAUCAAAACAGAGAAAAACAAACCUGCAAAUCACACAAAGCAAGAAACCAAAAGAAAACCAUAAAGAAAACAAUGAGAAUGAAAGCAAAGAAAAACCAUAGAGGAAGAAGGCAAACAAAAAAAAAAAAGGUUCUAGAAUAGAGCAAAGAAGGAAAUAAACGAAGAAGACAAAGAAAAAAGGUUCUAGAAUAGAGCAAAGAAACAAAUAAACUAAGCAGACAAAAAGGAGGACUGGAAUAGAAAACAGGAAAAUACAAAAAUGUCCUCGAUAAAAUAUUAAAAACUGAAACGCACUUAACGAAAGGAAGAGAAAAAAUAUGAAGACCCGAAAAGUCCCUCAAAAUCCAACAACGACUAAUGGAGCCACCAAAGUAUCUGCUUUCCCCUAAGAGGGAAUCAAGUUGGUUAAAUCACAUUCAAACCCGUUGAACUCAACCUACCCAAAGGCUUUUGAGCUCCAAACCCUCAAAUUGGAAAGCAGUGUUUUCCCGUUGACACGUAAAAUCUUUCCCUUUGGAAAAUGUUUUCAAUCUUCCAAAUAGCUUUAACUCCUGAAAAUGGUUUUUGAAAAACAUUUUCUGCAAAACAACGGACCCUUUUUUUCAAAAUUUUUAACAUUUUUUCCAACAAAAUACCCAAUGCCUCGUUCUUGAUUUGGUCAGUUCUAGUAACAUAUGCGUCUUUGGGCCUCCAGUUGAUUACAAACUUGCCUUCCAAAGCUUAACAAAAGUAGUUUUCAAAACGACAAUCUUUUUCCGCGCACAACACCAAAUUCGGCAAAAAUUUAUUUCAAAAUUUUCACAGUUCCCAGCCCUCCAAAAUUUCCAUGAAAGGGCGUGAAAUGAAGAUAUUUAGCGCCUAAACAAACAAACCCUAUUGGUCCUUUCCAUUUCACGCGGAUUACAAUCCCCGGCACUCCCUCUCUCCACCGUACGAUCAAAAAAAAAAAAGGAAAGAUCCUCCCCACUCCAAAAUUUCCCAGUUUUCGAAUCUCCC
rnacentral:lncRNA from 1 species